rnacentral:rRNA from 1 species
UGACCUACGGGGCGCAGCAGUUGGGAAUAUUGGACAAUGGAGGAAACUCUGAUCCAGUGACGCCGCGUGAAGGAAGAAGGUCUUCGGAUUGUAAACUUAUUUUAUCAGGGAAGAAAAAAAUGACUGUACCUGAAGAAGAAGCACCGGCUAACUACGUGCCAGCAGCCGCGGUAAUACGUAGGGUGCAAGCGUUAUCCGGAUUUACUGGGUGUAAAGGGAGCGUAGACGGCGGAACAAGUCAGAAGU